rnacentral:rRNA from 1 species
GAAGCUGGAAUUGCUAGUAAUGGCAGGUCAGCAUACUGCCGUGAAUACGUUCCCGGGCCUUGUACACACCGCCCGUCACACCAUGAGAGUUGGGAAUACCCGAAGCCUGUGAGCUAACUUUUAGAGGCAGCAGUCGAAGGUAGAAUCAAUGAUUGGGGUGAAGUCGUAACAAGGUACC